AAGCUUUCAAACAGAUGACGCAUUUUUUACAUUACAUUUUUAUUUACAUGCAGUUUUACAAAUUAUUAAAGUCAUGGCAUUGAUAUAUAGGGUAAAGAAACACACUUUAAACUAACUAUUGAAUAUUUGUUUUUAUUAAAUAAUUUCAAGCAACAAACUGACAAAGCAUUAGAUAAUAAAGAACCUCUGAAAAACAAAGUGCACAUAUGACUACAGCAACAAAAUCCCAUUGUUUUAUAUCUUUAGAGAACAAAUAAACAUUAUUCAGACACAUGGAUGGUUACAGCUUAGAACACAGUAAAAUGUAUAGAAAGAACAUACCACCAUAUAUUCGCAAAAAUAGUUAUAAAAUACACACAGUCACACUUCUGCAGGUUUAAAUAGCACUGUUAGACCGAAUGUUAUUAUAUCAAUAAAUAUAAGAAAUCUUAUAAGCUACAGCCAUGUGCAUUAAAUUAUUCUUUCCUGUAUUUUUAUUUUAGAGACUCACAAUAAUUCUAUAAUUCUCUUUGAAACAACAAUAACAAUAAAUUGGAAUAAUUCCAUAUCUCUGGAAAAUUAAAUAAAACAAAGUUUUGAACAAGUUCUACACAUCAGACUUAAAAGUGAUUCUAAUAUAUCCAUGAUAAGCAAGUGAUCCGCCGUUGACAAUCAGGAAAAAGCGAUUAUUAAAAUACAUUUUUAAUCCGCAAUUGAACAUCGCUCCAUGUUUUUCCCUCUAGGAAACUGGAGUCCUUCUGAUUGGUCUGUCGCAAGGACUGUUGGGUAGCGGACUGCCGUGAGCCUGGAGCAGUGCGGGCUUCGACGAAGACCGCAUCGACGGCGCAAGGGGGGCGCUCGCGAGAACCCUCGCAAGCGCUAAAAACAUAUGGGACACACUACGGACUCGUGGACUUCAUAAGAACGCGCAACUGAAGGCCACGAGACCGCAAGUCCACAUGAAGUGCGCCAUUUGGAACAGGGUCAGAACCUUUCAUCUUCUUCUUCAUAUGAGGUUUGGCAAGCCAUCUUCCGGUGCAUUACCGCCACCGACUAGACUGGAGUUUGAAGCAUCAAUGGGAAGAACUUCUUGAACUACUUCAAAGAGUUCUCAUCAAAAAAUCCUCCACUUGUAGGAUUGACAUCUUAGCAGAUACUUGCCAUUCUGGCUGUCAGUUUGUCCAGAUACUCAGGUGACAUUUCACUCCACGCUUCCUGUAGCGCUUGCCAUAGAUGUGGCUGUCUUGUCGGGCACCUCUUACGCACCUUACAGUCUAGCUGAUCCCACAAAAGCUCAAUGAGGUGUGGCAAAAUAUUGGCCGCUUUCUACAUUUAACCGCAUACAACAGAUUGAUGGAGAGUGUUUUAGAGGAAGUGUGGUGUCUACCUGCUGGUUUCCUGUUUGAGGUGUCCGAUCUGAGCUCCCAGUGGGUGC